AGAGACUGCAAAAGGGAAGACAAGAGGGGAGGCUCUGAGAAGUUACAAGGAUAUGUGAAUACAAGGCUGAGUCAUGCUUCCGGUGUAUAGGAACAAGUAUAUAUCUGCAAAGGGAACUAAAAGGGGCUCUUGACUUGGAAGAGAAGAAAAAAAUCUUUCUUUGGACGAUUAGGUUUCACCAAAGGUACAUUGGAAAAUCCCAUCCCGAGGGGUAAUGGAGAGAAAAACGUCUGGAGAGGAAAAGGAUAUGAAUAAAAUCCUAGAGCUGGCUAUGUUUGACUAUGAUAUGUCGUGCAGAAGAUCGAUUCAAG